AUAUUAUAUUAUUAAUAGGAAAGUCAUAAAUAUAUAAAUUAUAUUGUAUAAUUAUAUAUAUUAUUCAUUAUAUAUAUUAUUAAUUGUUUAAUAAAAAAAAUAUAUAACAGGAUAAUUAUUAUUAUUAUAUACAAUAUUAAUAAAGUAAUUAGUAUAAAUAAAUAAAAUGAAAAUAAAACUUAAUAAAUAUAUUAUUAUAUAUUUUAAAUCACCUAUAGUAUCCGUCCUAUUUAUUAAUAAUAAUCAUAAAUUAUCAUAAAUAAUAAUUUACUCGAAGCGGGUGGGACUUUAUAAUUAUUUUUAAUAGAUUAUUAUAAAUAUUAUAUUUUAUAUCUUUAUAAAAAUUAAGAUAUAUUUUAUAAUAUAUUAAUCUUAUUUAUAGUUAUAUAUAAAAGAUAUAUAAAAGUUAUAUUAUUAUACAGAAAUAUGCUUAAUUAUAAUAUAAUAUCU
rnacentral:RNase_P_RNA from 2 species